rnacentral:lncRNA from 1 species
GGGAGCCAUUUGCUUUCCAACCGGUGUAUUUCCCGCGGGAUGUGGACUAUUUGAAAUAUUUUGCGAAAGGCCAGUUUUGUCCACUGAUAGAUUUGCCACGCGUUCUCGACUGUCGGCUACGCGCUGGGGGUUCUUAUCCGUAUGUUUUGGAACUUCACUGUCGGUUAACCUGUUGGGGCUCGGGGGCAGUAUUAACAGGUUUUAAGGUCUUCGUAAGUAAGCAUUUCACUGUAACCGGUUGUAUUCGGCGCAUGUGACUAAUACGAUUUGAUUUGUUUUGGCGGGGCAACUCAAAUUAACUUUUUUUUUUAAAUAAUUUUUUCAUGCCACAAGAAGUACCGUAUCCGACCAAAUAGGUUCCAGAAAAGAAAAAAAAAAUAGUCCUGUUCUGGCAGAAUCUGGCUCAAAUGAAGCACUGAUUGGACCAUUUUGGGAAGCUUUCUGCGUGUUGGGACGGACUCGUUUUUAACAUUCUUAGUAGUAAGACGAGGCUGUAGCAUGAACUAAGACCACAUCUGGUGAUCUGUCUGUCUGUGUGUUGUUUGGUUAAAACCUGGCAUGUCCAUUGGUUUAUCUAGUAAGUCACUACCUAGAAAUCUACAAUCCACAUUACAAUCAUUAAGGUCAUUAGAGAUCAGCCAAACUGAAAUGAUGUGUAGAGUGGAAGGUAAACAUGUGUACUACAUCAUACACAACGUUGUGUAGAGUGGAAGGUAAACAUGUGUACUACAUCAUACACAACGUUGUGUAGAGUGGAAGGUAAACAUGUGUACUACAUCAUACACAACGUUGUGUAGAGUGGAAGGUAAACAUGUGUACUACAUCAUACACAACGUUGUGUAGAGUGGAAGGUAAACAUGUGUACUACAUCAUACACAACGUUGUGUAGAGUGGAAGGUAAACGUGUGUACUACGUAAUCAUACCGCUGCCUUUUACGUCUGUCAACAGGAAGUGACAUCAGCAGCAUUUAAACAGUUCUGUCCUUCAUUUCAGGUGAAGAACAACAAGAUAAAUGGUGAAAAACAACCUAAACGUUAUUAACUGAAGGUCGAAGGAGCUCUAUAAAGUCAACAAUAUUCUUAGUUGCCGUAACGGGAAAAAUAAAAACCUAAAAUGCAUUUUAAAACGGAAUAAAAAUAUGCAAAUCAUACCUCUGUG